rnacentral:siRNA from 1 species
ACAAAACCUCUCGAUAAAGCGCCU